GACAGAGGGUGCAAACGUUGUUCGGAAUUACUGGGCGUAAAGCGCGCGUAGGCGGCCGCUUAAGUCGGAUGUGAAAGCCCCUGGCUCAACUGGGGAAGUGCACCCGAAACUGAGUGGCUUGAGUACAAAAGAGGGUCGCGGAAUUCCCGGUGUAGAGGUGAAAUUCGUAGAUAUUGGGAAGAACACCGGUGGCGAAGGCGGCUCUCUGGACCGAGACUGACGCUGAGGCGCGAAAGCGUGGGGAGCAAACAGG
rnacentral:rRNA from 1 species